GAGUAUCCUUCCCAAGUUGCGUGGAUGUGAAGAGACACGACAGUUCCCCUGAUGUACCAUGGGCGACCUACUUGUGAUGUGGACCUGAACCUCCACCAUGUAGCAGACAACCCCUCUCAGAUGAGAUGUAUUGCCCAAAACUCCCUUUUGUCCAAGUAACCCCGGCAUGUCCAAAGUGCAGCCUUCCGGCAUUUGCAAAACUGCACAUCUAAUCAUGCCCUGACACACCAAUGCUUAUGCUGUGUCAGGGAAUGUUUGUAUGUGUAGUUUCUCAAGUGCCGGAGGGUUGCAUUUGGGACAAAGGCCGCUGUAACCUGCUUGUGUCAAAGUGUUGCUUGUACCUUGUCUUUUCCUAUUACCAAUACCUGGAACCUCAUACUAUUCUCUUCCACAGGUCUUGCGGAGUAUCCUUCCCAAGUUGCGUGGACGUGAAGAGACGCGACAGUUCCCCUGAUGUACCAUGGGUGACCUACUUGUGAUGUGGACCUGAACCUCCGCCAUGUAGCAGACAACCCCUCUCAGGUCUUGCAGAGUAUCCUUCCCAAGUUGCGUGGAUGUGAAGAGACGCGACAGUUCCCCUGAUGUACCAUGGGCGACCUACUUGUGAUGUGGACCUGAACCUCCGCCAUGUAGCAGACAACCCCUCUCAGGUCUUGCGGAGUAUCCUUCCCAAGUUGCGUGGACGUGAAGAGACACGACAGUUCCCCUGAUGUACCAUGGGCGACCUACUUGUGAUGUGGACCUGAACCUCCGCCAUGUAGCAGACAACCCCCCUCAGGUCUUGCGGAGUAUCCUUCCUGAUUUGCAGGAAACAGCAUGGAUGAAAAGGGACACGACAGUUCCCCUGCUGUACCAUGGGCGACCUAACACAAUACCACUGCAUCUCUGAAAUACCAUAUUUUACAUUUUAUUUACUAAUAAUUUAAAGAAAACACACAAAACUUCUCAUUUAAAAAAAUUA